UACGGAGGGAGCUAGCGUUGUUCGGAAUUGCUGGGCGUAAAGCGCACGUAGGCGGCUCAGCAAGUCAGGGGUGAAAUCCCGGGGCUCAACCCCGGAACUGCCCUUGAAACUGCUAAGCUAGAAUCUUGGAGAGGCGAGUGGAAUUCCGAGUGUAGAGGUGAAAUUCGUAGAUAUUCGGAAGAACACCAGUGGCGAAGGCGACUCGCUGGACAAGUAUUGACGCUGAGGUGCGAAAGCGUGGGGAGCAAACAGG
rnacentral:rRNA from 1 species